CAGGUGCUAUCCACAGUAGAAAACCCCCAAAAAGCGAGCAGAGUCGAGUCGAGCCGUACCGUACAGUGCAGUUAAAAAGUGCCAUAUGUAGUUGUUUUUGUAGGCCUUGUGGUCCCUUUGGCCUUCCACACCCCUCUGCUGUGCACUGAUUGGAGGAUUGCUCAGCACCGAGCUGCACGAGCGGAAUGUAUCUGACUCUGGUUACUAGUAACAUAAAAACAACGCUGGAGACUCCGAGCCUCGCUUUCACACCCACAUUAACUGGAUAAAUCCGCUUUUAAUUCACAUUUCGGGACAUUUCUACGACCUUUUGCCUUGAGACUACCAUCACCCAGUUCUCCUUUACCUGUUUUGUAAGGAUGUUUUAAAUGUUGGUGUGAAUUUAUUAAAUAGACGUCCACCAGCAGUUACCCAGAUGAAGACGGGUUCCCUUCUGAGUCUGGUUCCUCUCAAGGUUUCUUCCCCAUAUUAUCUUAGGGAGUUUUUCCUCGCCACAGGCUUGCUUAUUAGGGAUAAAUUCACACACUUAAAAUCUGUAUCCUGUGUUUAUAUGUUUCUGUAAAGCUGCUAUGAGACAAUGUCCAUUGUAAAAAGUGCUAUACAAAUAAAAUUGCAAUGAAUUGCAUUGAACUCCGCGUGUACCGACAUGGCCCUAAGGACAUCAUAGCCACCCUCCUGUGUUUGUACGCUGCUGAUUAGAAAGUGCAGUCUUGCCCUUUAAAGUGGUCAGCUUCAAGGGCUUCCUGUGUGUGUUCAGAUUAUUCCCUGUGUAUGUAUAUGUAUGUAUGUGGGUGUGUGUGUA
ensembl:lncRNA